rnacentral:rRNA from 1 species
CCUACGGGUGGCUGCAGUGGGGAAUAUUGGACAAUGGGCGAAAGCCUGAUCCAGCCAUGCCGCGUGUGUGAAGAAGGCCUUCGGGUUGUAAAGCACUUUCAGUGGGGAAGAAAGCCUUGGGGCUAAUACCCUCGAGGAAGGACAUCACCCACAGAAGAAGCACCGGCUAACUCCGUGCCAGCAGCCGCGGUAAUACGGAGGGUGCGAGCGUUAAUCGGAAUUACUGGGCGUAAAGCGCGCGUAGGCGGUCUGAUAAGCCGGUUGUGAAAGCCCCGGGCUCAACCUGGGAACGGCAUCCGGAACUGUCAGGCUAGAGUGCAGGAGAGGAAGGUAGAAUUCCCGGUGUAGCGGUGAAAUGCGUAGAGAUCGGGAGGAAUACCAGUGGCGAAGGCGGCCUUCUGGACUGACACUGACGCUGAGGUGCGAAGGCGUGGGUAGCAAACAGGAUUAGAUACCCUAGUAGUC